AUUGAACGCUGGCGGCAGGCCUAACACAUGCAAGUCGAGCGGAUGAAGAGAGCUUGCUCUCUGAUUCAGCGGCGGACGGGUGAGUAAUGCCUAGGAAUCUGCCCUGGUAGUGGGGGACAACGUUUCGAAAGGAACGCUAAUACCGCAUACGUCCUACGGGAGAAAGCAGGGACCUUUGGGCCUUGCGCUAUCAGAUGAGCCUAGGUCGGAUUAGCUAGUUGGUGAGGUAAAUGGCUCACCCAAAGGCGGACGAAUCCGUAACUGGUCUGAGAGGAUGAUC
rnacentral:rRNA from 1 species